GAUGAACGCUGGCGGCGUGCCUAAUACAUGCAAGUCGAGCGAACAGAUGAGGAGCUUGCUCCUCUGACGUUAGCGGCGGACGGGUGAGUAACACGUGGAUAACCUACCUAUAAGACUGGGAUAACUUCGGGAAACCGGAGCUAAUACCGGAUAAUAUAUUGAACCGCAUGGUUCAAUAGUGAAAGACGGUUUUGCUGUCACUUAUAGAUGGAUCCGCGCCGCAUUAGCUAGUUGGUAAGGUAACGGCUUACCAAGGCAACGAUGCGUAGCCGACCUGAGAGGGUGAUCGGCCACACUGGAACUGAGACACGGUCCAGACUCCUACGGGAGGCAGCAGUAGGGAAUCUUCCGCAUUGGGCGAAAGCCUGACGGAGCAACGCCGCGUGAGUGAUGAAGGUCUUCGGAUCGUAAAACUCUGUUAUUAGGGAAGAACAAAUGUGUAAGUAACUAUGCACGUCUUGACGGUACCUAAUCAGAAAGCCACGGCUAACUACGUG
rnacentral:rRNA from 1 species